GACGAACGCUGGCGGCGUGCUUAACACAUGCAAGUCGAACGAAGAGCGAUGGAAGCUUGCUUCUAUCAAUCUUAGUGGCGAACGGGUGAGUAACGCGUAAUCAACCUGCCCUUCAGAGGGGGACAACAGUUGGAAACGACUGCUAAUACCGCAUACGAUCUAAUCUCGGCAUCGAGGAUAGAUGAAAGGUGGCCUCUACAUGUAAGCUAUCACUGAAGGAGGGGAUUGCGUCUGAUUAGCUAGUUGGAGGGGUAACGGCCCACCAAGGCGAUGAUCAGUAGCCGGUCUGAGAGGAUGAACGGCCACAUUGGGACUGAGACACGGCCCAGACUCCUACGGGAGGCAGCAGUGGGGAAUCUUCCGCAAUGGACGAAAGUCUGACGGAGCAACGCCGCGCGAGCGAUGACGGCCUUCGGGUUGUAAAGCUCUGUUAAUCGGGACGAAAGGCCUUCUUGCGAAUAGUGAGAAGGAUUGACGGUACCGGAAUAGAAAGCCACGGCUAACUACGU
rnacentral:rRNA from 1 species